GAUGAACGCUAGCGGCAGGCUUAAUACAUGCAAGUCGAGGGGCAGCAUGAUUGUAGCAAUACAAUUGAUGGCGACCGGCAAACGGGUGCGGAACACGUACACAACCUCCCAAUAAGUGGGGAAUAGCCCAGAGAAAUUUGGAUUAAUACCCCGUAACAUAACGAUGUGGCAUCACAUUGUUAUUAUAGAUUUUUCGCUUAUUGAUGGGUGUGCGGCUGAUUAGAUAGUUGGAGGGGUAACGGCCCACCAAGUCUACGAUCAGUAGCUGAUGUGAGAGCAUGAUCAGCAACACGGGCACUGAGACACGGGCCCGACUCCUACGGGAGGCAGCAUUAAGGAAUAUUGGACAAUGGACGCAAGUCUGUUCCAGCCAUGCCGCGUGAAGGAUUAAGGUCCUCUGGAUUGUAAACUUCUUUUAUAAGGGACGAAAAAAGGCUUUUCUAAGUCGUCUGACGGUACCUUAUGAAUAAGCACCGGCUAACUCCGUGCCAGCCGCCGCCGUAAGAC
rnacentral:rRNA from 1 species